GUUUUCUCCUCCUAUUAAAGUAGUGUAAAUAAUGUAACUGUACAGCACAGUCACUAUUAUUCACUGCUUCAAAGGAGGAGACACCUGUCCAAAUCAUUCGUUUAACAUUGAGUUACUGAAAACCGACUGAAACCUUGAAGAUCUUGGUAGAGUGCAAUGUGGAAAUACAAAGUUACAUCACUCAUCAUACUAUAUUUAUCUGCUGGUAAUUUAAACAGUAUGAAUAUUUCAGAUAUGUAAUACAUAUAUAAACAUAUUAAUGCUGUGUUUUCUCUCAUUAGAUCCAGUCUUUGGGAAUUCUGUUGAACAGCCUGCAUCAGACACUGGAAGAGAAAAAGUACAAAAGACGCUCACGUGUAGCCACAAGUUCUCCAAUGUUUGUUGUUUGUGGUACAGAAAAUAUCCUUCCUCUGCUAUACAAUUUCUUGUUGGAACUUGUGGAAACAACGAGAUAAAUGGGAGAUUUAGUGCAUAUAUCAGUUCCUCCAGUAGCACAUUAACCAUUUCCAGUCUGGAGCUGAAUGAUGCAGGUGUUUAUUACUGUGCACUUGAUAGAAAGC